rnacentral:rRNA from 1 species
UACGUAGGGUGCAAGCGUUAAUCGGAAUUACUGGGCGUAAAGCGUGCGCAGGCGGUUCGGAAAGAAAGAUGUGAAAUCCCAGAGCUUAACUUUGGAACUGCAUUUUUAACUACCGGGCUAGAGUGUGUCAGAGGGAGGUGGAAUUCCGCGUGUAGCAGUGAAAUGCGUAGAUAUGCGGAGGAACACCGAUGGCGAAGGCAGCCCCCUGGGUUAACACUGACGCUCAUGCACGAAAGCGUGGGGAGCAAACAGG